GUGCCAGCCGCCGCGGUAAUACGUAGGUGGCAAGCGUUGUCCGGAUUUAUUGGGCGUAAAGCGAGCGCAGGCGGUUUCUUAAGUCUGAUGUGAAAGCCUUCGGCUCAACCGAAGAAGUGCAUCGGAAACUGGGAAACUUGAGUGCAGAAGAGGACAGUGGAACUCCAUGUGUAGCGGUGAAAUGCGUAGAUAUAUGGAAGAACACCAGUGGCGAAGGCGGCUGUCUGGUCUGUAACUGACGCUGAGGCUCGAAAGCAUGGGUAGCAAACAGGAUUAGAUACCCUGGUAGUCCAUGCCGUAAACGAUGAGUGCUAGGUGUUGGAGGGUUUCCGCCCUUCAGUGCCGCAGCUAACGCAUUAAGCACUCCGCCUGGGGAGUACGACCGCAAGGUUGAAACUCAAAGGAAUUGACGGGGGCCCGCACAAGCGGUGGAGCAUGUGGUUUAAUUCGAAGCAACGCGAAGAACCUUACCAGGUCGUGACAUCCUUUGACCACUCUAGAGAUAGAGCUUUCCCUUCGGGGACAAAGUGACAGGUGGUGCAUGGUUGUCGUCAGCUCGUGUCGUGAGAUGUUGGGUUAAGUCCCGCAACGAGCGCAACCCUUAUUACUAGUUGCCAGCAUUUAGUUGGGCACUCUAGUGAGACUGCCGGUGACAAACCGGAGGAAGGUGGGGACGACGUCAAAUCAUCAUGCCCCUUAUGACCUGGGCUACACACGUGCUACAAUGGAUGGUACAACGAGUUGCGAGACCGCGAGGUUUAGCUAAUCUCUUAAAACCAUUCUCAGUUCGGAUUGUAGGCUGCAACUCGCCUACAUGAAGCCGGAAUCGCUAGUAAUCGCGGAUCAGCAUGCCGCGGUGAAUACGUUCCCGGGCCUUGUACACACCGCCCGU
rnacentral:rRNA from 1 species